rnacentral:lncRNA from 1 species
AAAAAAAUCAAAUGAAGUUCAAUAAAGAAGUAUACAGCAAUACUGUUAUUUGGACAUUGCACGUAUGGUUAAUGACGUAUACAACUGGAAAUAAUUACACUACUAAUAAUGUUAACAUAACAUGUUUAUCAAAUCUGAAUGAUUCAUUAAAAACUGAAAAUACAACAAACACAAUAAAUAAAGCUGCAACAACUACAAAUUUCACAACCGAAG